ACCGCACAAGCGGUGGAUGAUGUGGAUUAAUUCGAUGCAACGCGAAAACCUUACCUACCCUUGACAUGUCCGGAAUCCCGAAGAGAUUUGGGAGUGCUCGCAAGAGAACCGGAACACAGGUGCUGCAUGGCUGUCGUCAGCUCGUGUCGUGAGAUGUUGGGUUAAGUCCCGCAACGAGCGCAACCCUUGUCAUUAGUUGCCAUCAUUUGGUUGGGCACUCUAAUGAGACUGCCGGUGACAAACCGGAGGAAGGUGGGGAUGACGUCAAGUCCUCAUGGCCCUUAUGGGUAGGGCUUCACACGUCAUACAAUGGUCGGUACAGAGGGUUGCCAACCCGCGAGGGGGAGCUAAUCCCACAAAGCCGAUCGUAGUCCGGAUCGCAGUCUGCAACUCGACUGCGUGAAGUCGGAAUCGCUAGUAAUCGUGGAUCAGCAUGUCACGGUGAAUACGUUCCCGGGUCUU
rnacentral:rRNA from 1 species